AUGGGUGCAUUCAAAUACAUCCAGGAGCUAUGGAGGAAGAAGCAGUCCAACAUGAUGAGCUUUCUUCUGAGGGUCCACUGCUGGCAAUACCGCCAGCUCUCUGCGCUGCACAGGGCUCCCCGCCCCACCCGGCCUGACAAAGCUCGAAGACUAGGGUACAAGGCUAAGCAAGGCUAUGUCAUUUACAGGAUUUGUGCAACUUAUGGCAAGCCUGUCCACCAUAGAGUUAAACAGCUGAAAUUUGCCCAAAGCCUUCAGUCUGUUGCUGAGAAGAGAGCUGGGUGCCAUUGUGGGGCUUUGAGAGUCCUGAAUUCCUACUGGGUUGAACAGAGAGAUGCGUGGGUUGACAGAAAGAGCGGUGACCUUGGAAAGGGCCACAAAUUCCACCACACUAUUGGUGGUUCCCGCCGUGCGACCUGGAGAAGGCACAAUACUCUCCAGCUCCACCGUUACCGCUAA
rnacentral:lncRNA from 1 species